UACGAAGGGGGCUAGCGUUGCUCGGAAUCACUGGGCGUAAAGCGCACGUAGGCGGCUUUUUAAGUCAGGGGUGAAAUCCUGGAGCUCAACUCCAGAACUGCCUUUGAUACUGAGAAGCUUGAGUCCGGGAGAGGUGAGUGGAACUGCGAGUGUAGAGGUGAAAUUCGUAGAUAUUAGGAAGAACACCAGUGGCGAAAGCGGCUCACUGGUCCGGUACUGACGCUGAGGUGCGAAAGCGUGGGGAGCAAACAGG
rnacentral:rRNA from 1 species